AGUGAACGCUGGCGGUAGGCCUAACACAUGCAAGUCGAACGGCAGCACAGUAAGAGCUUGCUCUUACGGGUGGCGAGUGGCGGACGGGCGAGGAAUACAUCGGAAUCUACUUUUUCGUGGGGGAUAACGUAGGGAAACUUACGCUAAUACCGCAUACGACCUACGGGUGAAAGCAGGGGAUCUUCGGACCUUGCGCGAUUGAAUGAGCCGAUGUCGGAUUAGCUAGUUGGCGGGGUAAAGGCCCACCAAGGCGACGAUCCGUAGCUGGUCUGAGAGGAUGAUCAGCCACACUGGAACUGAGACACGGUCCAGACUCCUACGGGAGGCAGCAGUGGGGAAUAUUGGACAAUGGGCGCAAGCCUGAUCCAGCCAUACCGCGUGGGUGAAGAAGGCCUUCGGGUUGUAAAGCCCUUUUGUUGGGAAAGAAAAGCAGCAGGUUAAUACCCCGCUAUUCUGACGGUACCCAAAGAAUAAGCACCGGCUAACUUCGUG
rnacentral:rRNA from 1 species